UUUUAUGGAGAGUUUGAUCCUGGCUCAGGAUGAACGCUGGCGGCGUGCCUAAUACAUGCAAGUCGAGCGAACGGACGAGAAGCUUGCUUCUCUGAUGUUAGCGGCGGACGGGUGAGUAACACGUGGAUAACCUACCUAUAAGACUGGGAUAACUUCGGGAAACCGGAGCUAAUACCGGGUAAUAUUUUUAACCGCAUGGUUCAAAAGUGAAAGACGGUCUUG
rnacentral:rRNA from 1 species